rnacentral:lncRNA from 1 species
AUUAGGGGACUCAAGGGAGCAAUGUGUACACACCAGAACUGUCAAGAGAGAUGCAGUGGAAAAGCCUCAUAAGGGACCUGUGUGGCCCAGGGACAGCCUCAACAGUUCAGAUGUGGAACCUAUGGGAUCCAAGACCAGAUAUUCCUGGCAACUUUAAGGUCAUCUGACAAUGUAUCUUAUGACAUUGAAAAAAGAGGAUAAUUGUAAACCAGUCAAUAUACCCAGGAAUGGAAAUAGAGGACUUGAGCUGAGCAUCUCAGCGUGAAGAGGAACAAGAAUGAGCAGUCUUGGCUGUGUGUGAUGAAAAUGAUUCUCUGCGUUGCAUUAACAGCUGAACUCAGAAGAUUGUGGCAGAUGUGCCUGACAGGAUGCUUUACUCCAAAAGAUGAAGGGUAUGGCCCUUGUGCAGCAGUGAUUCUUACACAAGAUAAUAAGGCCCUGAGAGGAAGAACUGGCAGAUGGAAACACUGGGACAGAAUGUCAAAAUCGGCUCUGCCUUCCCUUGCCUCUACCACCUCCAUCACUCCUUGCACCAGGAUUUUUAUCAGUGUAGAAGAAGAGUCCUUGAGCACAACAGAUGGACUCCACCGGGGCCUGAUCACCUUUUAAAAAUUAACAUUCCUGGAUUUGCAUUGAAAGCUAUUUGCAACAUGACCUUUAGGGGAAGAAAAAUAUCACAUGCCAAGGGUCAAUAAAUCAA